AUUACUUUGAAUAAAUUAGAGUGUUUAAAACAAAUACUUACUUUUCGUUUGUAUAGAUUAGCAUGGGAUAAUAAAAAAUGAUUUCUACAUUGGACUUUUUUCUUGUAUGGUUUAACUUGUAUCGCACUUUGUAGAAAUAAUGAUUAAUAGGAAUGGUUGGGGGUAUUCGUAUUGAAAUGUCAGAGGUGAAAUUCAUGGAUUUUUUCAAGAGGAACAUCAGCGAAAGCAUUUAUCAAGGACGUUUCCAUUAAUCAAGAACGAAAGUUGGGGGAUCGAAGAUGAUCAGAUACCGUCGUAGUCUCAACCAUAAACUAUGUCGACCAAUGAUAUCAAGUUAAUUACACACACUGUUUGUUACUUGAUGAAAUUUAAGAGAAAUUAAGAGUAUUUAGAUUCUGGGGGGAGUACGGUCGCAAGGCUGAAACUUAAAGGAAUUGACGGAAGGGCACAACAAGAUGUGGAUUUUGCGGCUUAAUUCGACUCAACACGGGAAAACUUACCAGGUCCAGACAAUUUAAGGAUUGACAGAUUAAAGAUCUUUCUUGAUUGAUUGAUUAGUGGUGCAUGGCCGUUCUUAGUUCGUGGAGUGAUUUGUCUACUUAAUUGUGUUAACGAACGAGAUCAUAACUUAUUAAUUAGUUAAAAUAUAUACUCUUUUGUGUAUGUUUUUAACCUUAAUUGGUUUUAUUUAACUUCUUAAAAGGACAUUUAAUAUUUAAAUUAAAGGAAGUUUAUGGCAAUAACAGGUCUGUGAUGCCCUUUAGAUGUUCUGGGCUGCACGCGCGAUACAAUGAAAAUUUCAAUAAGUUAUUAUUCUUUAUGAUGAUCUUCAUCAUAUUCUCCUUAAUARAAAUAUUUGGGUAAACUUUUAAAUAAUUUUCGUGGUGGGGAUUAAUAAUUGUAAUUAUUUAUUAUGAACGAGGAAUAUCUAGUAAGUAUAAUUCAUCAAAUUAUGCUGAUUACGUCCCUGCCCUUUGUACACACCGCCCGUCGCUCCUACCGAUGAAUAAUUCGAUGAAAAUUUAAGAUAUUUAAUUAACCUCUACUUGUAAGUUAAUARAAUAAAAUUUAUUUAAAUCUCAUUAUUUAGAGGAAGGAGAAGUCGUAACAAGGUAUCCGUA
rnacentral:rRNA from 1 species